rnacentral:rRNA from 1 species
UCCUACGGGGGGCAGCAGUGAGGAAUAUUGGUCAAUGGGCGGGAGCCUGAACCAGCCAAGUCGCGUGAGGGAUGACGGCCCUAUGGGUUGUAAACCUCUUUUGCCGGGGAGCAAAGUGCCGCACGUGUGCGGUUUGGAGAGUACCCGGAGAAAAAGCAUCGGCUAACUCCGUGCCAGCAGCCGCGGUAAUACGGAGGAUGCGAGCGUUAUCCGGAUUCAUUGGGUUUAAAGGGUGCGCAGGCGGGCCUUUAAGCCGGCGGGGAAAUCGUGG